GACGAACGCUGGCGGCGUGCCUAAUACAUGCAAGUCGAGCGGAUCACAUCUUCGGGUGUGGUUAGCGGCGGACGGGUGAGUAACACGUAGGUAACCUGCCUUUAAGACUGGGAUAACUAUCGGAAACGAUAGCUAAGACCAGAUAACUGGUUUUCUCGCAUGAGAGAAUUAUGAAACACGGAGCAAUCUGUGGCUUAAAGAUGGGCCUGCGGCGCAUUAGCUAGUUGGUAGGGUAACGGCCUACCAAGGCGACGAUGCGUAGCCGACCUGGGAGGGUGAACGGCCACACUGGGACUGAGACACGGCCCAGACUCCUACGGGAGGCAGCAGUAGGGAAUCUUCCGCAAUGGACGCAAGUCUGACGGAGCAACGCCGCGUGAGUGAUGAAGGUUUUCGGAUCGUAAAGCUCUGUUGUUUGAGACGAAUGUGCCUGUUUCGAAUAGGGAUAGGUAAUGACGGUAUUAAACGAGAAAGCCACGGCUAACUACGUGCCAGCCGCCGCAGUAA
rnacentral:rRNA from 1 species